rnacentral:tRNA from 1 species
UGCAUCGGCCGGGAAUCGAACCCGGGUCACCCGCGUGGCAGGCGAGCAUUCUACCACUGAACCGCCGAUUC